CGGAGGACUGUAGUGGAUAAGCUGUA
rnacentral:piRNA from 1 species